UUGAAGUAUUGAUUGGUAUUCAACUCGUCAUUUUGCUUAAAUUCAGGCAGCGGCCAGACAACCGUAGGGAUGGUUUCCACAGAUGAACGGUUAUUCAAUCUGUUUGUCUACUAAAUUCUAUCUCACAUCA